UUCUCUCUUGCAUGAAGUCUGUGUCUGAAUUGCCUUUUGAGAAUUUUCAGAAAUAUUUUAGCAACUUUUGCUUUGAAUCCUAAAAUAAUCAGCCUCUUCCCUCCUUUUGUUUGAGAAGGAAUUAAAGGUUUAGUUGGGUUCUUAUGAAUGUUACUGAUUAUUGCACUGCACUGUGAUCACUGUUUAGCUGUUGUGUUUGCCAACGAUAGGAUACUUGAACUUCAGAAAUGUAGUGCUAAUCACCUUCAGGAUGCUUUUCCUUGACGCUGGAGCGAGAUAAGAGCUUUCUGUGUCGUGGACCAAAGAUACUGAUGUUACCAAAGACUAGGCUGUGUGCUGCAGAACUCACCUGUUCCUUAUGUAUAAUGUGUUUGCCUGUUUUUAUGAACACCAUGCCCUGAAGAGCUGUGAAGACAAUAUAAUUGAUUAAGUUACUACAAAGUAUCUGAGCUCAACAGCUGUAAGCACUCAUGUGUUUCAGAAGACCAAAACCUUGCAGUGAUAGAUGCCAGGAAUUCUGAGGCUUCUUGAAUGAUUAUGCUGGCUCACAAGUUCUGCAAGAUGCCUAAAUGCAAACCUGUAAUCCUUUAAUGCAUUUAACACAGUGCUUUUCAGUGCAAUUAUAUGCAGUUUAUUUCCUGGAGGUCCUGCACUUACAGACUGCUGAUUCAUUGCCGUACAAUUUUGGUUGGAUGUCCAAAUCCCUUCUGAGUGCCUUCAGUCUUGUAAACCCUGGAAGCUGUUUUGUGCUUGCAACAGCAGCAGAAUCUUUCAGCCUCUGGAGACCUCCAUACUUGCUGAUAAAGCAUUCAGGGACAGAAAAGGCAUAAAAUGAACAAGCAGGUGAGAGGCACGUUUUUAUGGAAUUCAAAGUGCGAUCAUCACUUCUGUCAGCUGAAGAGUUAUGUCUGAAA